UAUAAUAUGCGGUCAUAGAUGACGCGCCAUCUGCAUGUCGUCUAUUCAUAUAAUAGACGACGCAGUAGAAGUGAUAGACGACGCGUUUGAGCGCCAUGUCGUCUAUGUGCAUGGUGAGCGCUAAUACACGACGUGCGAAGAAGGGCGUCGUCUUUAAUACAAUAGACGACACGCAUACUGCGCGUCGUGAGUCUGAAAUUUCAAUCUCUCCCGCCGCUCUCUGAAAUUAGGGCUAGGUUAGGCGUGUUUCCCACUCUCUCCCCUCUCUGAAAUUUCAAUCUCUUCUUCUCGUGAGUCUGUGAUAGAGAGUCCGAGAUCAGUCUGAAAUUUCAAUCAGCCGUCCACCGUCCAUCGCUCCUCCGGCGCUUCACCCACCACAACACCUGACGCCUCCCCCCUCGUUGAUCGAUUUUGCCGCCCACCACCACCUCGGCGAAUGGAUUAGGCGAAGCCCUAGCCGCCGCCGUUAAGAGCCACCACCGGAGAGGGCUCGACGUCGCGAAGCCGUUGCCGCCACUCUACCUUCGCCUCGACGAUAUUCUGCCGCCCAUCUCCGCCCCAGAGACAUCCCAAAGCCGCCGCUAGGGCUCACCGUCUUCGACAAGCAGGUCGUGUUGUUCAAAGACGGCGAUGGAGUAAUUAGGUGUUACGAAGAUCGUUGCCCCCACAGGUGGAGUUCAGUCUCUGCUUGAUAAGGCAGCAGAUGAGGGCUUGGUGAUACUUCAAUCUCCAAGGGUUGGGUAUUUUAAAAGAUCCAGGACCAUUAAAGGGAAGAAGGCUCAUCCAUCUUAAAGAUAAAUAUUCUGUUAUAUUUAUAUGAACAGUGGCUCGCUUGACAUCAAAUUAAUUUCUAUGCGCCACCAUUUCAUCGGACUAAAAAAUUGAAGAUGCCAAGAGCUUCCUAUAUUGCCAGAAGGGAGUCUGUGCUUGGUUCCAAAUGCUCAUUGAGAAGCAUUUUAACACCUCCUCAUUCGACGUUUCUGUUGCGUUUUAAAAUUGGACAAUUGGACCUUGGAGUAGUUGUUUAGUAAGGGAAUAUGCUAAAGUUAGAACUAAUGAAUCUAUUGAGAUGAAUAUGGAUGAAGAUGUUAUCCGAUUUAAAAUUAGUGAUCAGAGUCAAGAAGGAACAUCCUUAAAUAAAAGGAAAGCACUGACAAAAAAGUCAGACGUGUCAAGAAAUGCGAAGCUCAACGAACUUAGGUUUUAUCGGUUGAAAGCAAAGAAGAAAAUAAAUUCUCCAAAUCCUGAAGUUAGGAUAAGGUACAAGCUUGAGAAGGUAGGCAAAUAUUCCUUUGGUUCCUGCUGCUGGUUUCUUGGAUUACUUUACUUGCUAAACACUUUUCAUAUGCUAAUUUUCUUGU